GAUGAACGCUGGCGGCGUGCCUAAUACAUGCAAGUCGAGCGAACGGACGAGAAGCUUGCUCCUCUGAUGUUAGCGGCGGACGGGUGAGUAACACGUGGAUAACCUACCUAUAAGACUGGGAUAACUUCGUGAAACCGGAGCUAAUACCGGAUAAUAUUUUGAACCGCAUGGUUCAAAAGUUAAAGACGGUCUUGCUGUCACUUAUAGAUGGAUCCGCGCUGCAUUAGCUAGUUGGUAAGGUAACGGCUUACCAAGGCAACGAUGCGUAGCCGACCUGAGAGGGUGAUCGGCCACACUGGAACUGAGACACGGUCCAGACUCCUACGGGAGGCAGCAGUAGGGAAUCUUCCGCAAUGGGCGAAAGCCUGACGGAGCAACGCCGCGUGAGUGAUGAAGGUCUUCGGAUCGUAAAACUCUGUUAUUAGGGAAGAACAGAUGUGUAAGUAACUGUGCACAUCUUGACGGUACCUAAUCAGAAAGCCACGGCUAACUACGUG
rnacentral:rRNA from 1 species